AUGAAUUGUAACGGCAAACUUUACAAAGUACCACGGCGCAUUAAUGUAGUUUCGGAGCUUAAAACUUCUCUGGU
rnacentral:lncRNA from 1 species